rnacentral:rRNA from 1 species
AGUGGCGGACGGGUGAGUAACGCGUGAGAAUCUGCCUUGGGGUCGGGGACAACCACUGGAAACGGUGGCUAAUACCGGAUAAGCCGAUUGGUGAAAGAUUUAUUGCCCGAAGAGGAGCUCGCGUCUGAUUAGCUAGUUGGUGAGGUAAGAGCUCACCAAGGCAGCGAUCAGUAGCUGGUCUGAGAGGACGAUCAGCCACACUGGGACUGAGACACGGCCCAUACUCCUACGGGAGGCAGCAGUGGGGAAUUUUCCGCAAUGGGCGAAAGCCUGACGGAGCAAGACCGCGUGAGGGAGGAAGGCUCUUGGGUUGUAAACCUCUUUUCUCAGGGAAGAAGCUCUGACGGUACCUGAGGAAUCAGCCUCGGCUAACUCCGUGCCAGCAUCCGCGGUAAUACGGAGGAGGCAAGCGUUAUCCGGAAUUAUUGGGCGUAAAGCGUCCGCAGGUGGCGAUUCAAGUCUGCUGUCAAAGCACGGGGCUUAACUCCGUAAAGGCAGUGGAAACUGAAUAGCUAGAGUGCCGUAGGGGUAGAGGGAAUUCCCGGUGUAGCGGUGAAAUGCGUAGAGAUCGGGAAGAACAUCGGUGGCGAAAGCGCUCUACUGGACGGCAACUGACACUCAGGGACGAAAGCUAGGGGAGCGAAUGGGAUUAGAUACCCC